rnacentral:rRNA from 1 species
UGGGGAAUAUUGCGCAAUGGGCGAAAGCCUGACGCAGCAACGCCGCGUGAGGGAUGAAGGCUUUUGGGUCGUAAACCUCUGUCAAAUGGGAAGAAUUCUGACGGUACCAUUAAAGGAAGCACCGGCAAACUCCGUGCUAGCAGCCGCGGUAAUACGGAGGGUGCGAGCGUUAAUCGGAAUUACUGGGCGUAAAGCGCGCGUAGGUGGUUUGAUAAGCUAGCUGUGAAAGCCCCGGGCUUAACCUGGGAACUGCAGUUAGAACUGUCUGACUAGAGUACAGUAGAGGGUGGCGGAAUUUCCUGUGUAGCGGUGAAAUGCGUAGAUAUAGGAAGGAACAUCAGUGGCGAAGGCGGCCACCUGGACUGAUACUGACACUGAGGUGCGAAAGCGUGGGGAGCAAACAGG